rnacentral:SRP_RNA from 1 species
GCCGAGCUCGGUUGCGUGGGCUUGUAAUCCAAGUGGAGGCAUUAGGGCGGUGGGACGUUGAUCUUGCCCAGAUGACCGAGUCUUGUGUGACUAUUCUCUGACCUGCCCGUUCCAAGCCAAGAGUUGAGCCUCGUGGUCCGGGCGAAGGCCUGAGUCACAAGGCUCCUAAAGUGGGGGGCAAUGCGUGAGGCUGGUUUCACAGAGCAGCGAUUACCUCCCGCUCCUGGCAGUGGAAGGAUAACAGGUCAGUGUCACCUGGACUCGUAUGGUCUGAUGGGUUGAUCUAACUGGACCGUCGCCUU